UGGUAAUUAGUUUAAAUUAAAACAAGUGAUUUCGACUCACUAGAUUAUGACUACUCAUAAUUACUAA
rnacentral:tRNA from 1 species